GACGAACGCUGGCGGCGUGCCUAAUACAUGCAAGUAGAACGCUGAAGAGAGGAGCUUGCUCUUCUUGGAUGAGUUGCGAACGGGUGAGUAACGCGUAGGUAACCUGCCUGGUAGCGGGGGAUAACUAUUGGAAACGAUAGCUAAUACCGCAUAAAAUUGAUUAUUGCGUGAUAAUUAAUUGAAAGAUGCAACUGCAUCACUACCAGAUGGACCUGCGUUGUAUUAGCUAGUUGGUGAGGUAACGGCUCACCAAGGCGACGAUACAUAGCCGACCUGAGAGGGUGAUCGGCCACACUGGGACUGAGACACGGCCCAGACUCCUACGGGAGGCAGCAGUAGGGAAUCUUCGGCAAUGGGGGGAACCCUGACCGAGCAACGCCGCGUGAGUGAAGAAGGUUGUCGGAUCGUAAAGCUCUGUUGUAAGAGAAGAACGGGUGUGAGAGUGGAAAGUUCACACUGUGACGGUAUCUUACCAGAAAGGGACGGCUAACUACGUG
rnacentral:rRNA from 1 species